AUACGGAGGGUGCAAGCGUUGUUCGGAAUCACUGGGCGUAAAGGGCGCGCAGGCGGUUUGGUAAGUCAGAUGUGAAAGCCCACGGCUCAACCGUGGAAGUGCAUUUGAAACUGUCAGACUUGAGUACCAGAGGGGAAAGUGGAAUUCCCGGUGUAGAGGUGAAAUUCGUAGAUAUCGGGAGGAAUACCGGUGGCGAAGGCGACUUUCUGGCUGGAUACUGACGCUGAGGCGCGAAAGCGUGGGGAGCAAACAGGAUUAGAUACCCUUGUAGUCC
rnacentral:rRNA from 1 species